AAAUGAGAGCAAGGUGUGCUGCUGCACACCGGUAACCUCGGUGCUUUGGAGGAUGAAUUCAUUUAGGAGAAUGGCAGUGCCGAGACCAGCUUAGGCUACCUACAAGCAACCAAUGUGACAUUCAUCCAGAAAGCCUCAAGCAAGUUAUUGUUCUGACUGCUGGGAAUGUCUUACAUAAAAGUCAUAAAAAGAGAUCUACAGCAUGCAUAGCGAGGACAAAGAAAGUUCUAGUUUCCUCCUUUCCCCAGGACUUGACCCUACAGCUGCUCCUAGUGCUUGCUCGGCAGUCCCGCGCUCACAUCAGAGUCUGAGGGAGUAUGGGAAGGAAACGCCCUCAAUACCCACCGGAGGGCGUCCCACCGCCACUUUCACCUCCACUGCCUGCAGCUUGUGGCUGCCCUUGCAGCGCGGUGCUACUCGGCUGCUCCUGGCAGACAUAGAUGGUUAAGCGGGGCCUAACCGACCUGUAAUCAGAAGAUGCCAUCAAUGAGACUGUGAGGGUAAGCUGCCCCAGCAGGUACAAUCAACAACUACAGGAAUCUACGGUCUAGUUUUCCUGGUGAGAACUUUACAGUGUUAUUUCAUUAUGCAAAAUAAUUUUCUAAUAAAAAUAUUAAAAACC
rnacentral:lncRNA from 1 species